rnacentral:tmRNA from 1 species
GCGAAAUAGGAUCGACGCAUGUGGUAAAGGCAGUAUUUUUGCUCGGUAUGGUACCCGCCGUUAUCGGGCCAUGUAGUAGUUGCAAAUGACAACACUGCUCCGGUAGCAAUCGCAGCCUAAAGGCAGCGGGAGUAACCGAACUUAAGUCCAGAUCGAUUGAGCUCGGUCUGGCGGGGUUUGGGGCGCACCUGGCAACAGAAGCGUUCCGCU